rnacentral:rRNA from 1 species
UGCGUAGGUGGUUUCUUAAGUCAGGAGUGAAAGGCUACGGCUCAACCGUAGUAAGCUCUUGAAACUGGGAAACUUGAGUGCAGGAGAGGAAAGUGGAAUUCCUAGUGUAGCGGUGAAAUGCGUAGAUAUUAGGAGGAACACCAGUAGCGAAGGCGGCUUUCUGGACUGUAACUGACACUGAGGCACGAAAGCGUGGGGAGCAAACA